GAGGAGUCAUCAUGGUCAAUGUUUGUUUUGACAUCUUUACCCUUUCACUUUACCAGAGGACCGAAUACUUGUUUAGUUUUUUUAACAAUAUUCUAGUUGUCGGGAAUAAUCUGUCUUUUUUGGCUUUGGUCCAGUAGAUAACUAAUAUGUUUUGCAUUGUAAAUCACUGUGUUACUUUUGCGGUCACCAUUUUUGUCCAUUGGUUCGAGAUUUGAGGCGAUCUUGUGGUGGUGUGUAUCCUUUUCUUCCUGUCGAACUGGACCCAGUCCACUUCGUCCCUUUAUCAUUGCCUACCGUCGUCACCUAUAUUGUGCGAUACUCUUGCAGUGUUGCUUUCGUGUUUAAAUUUCCAUUGGAUCCGUUUCGUUGCGGCUGAUAAGUAGCCGGAGAUCUAUGGCCUAUGGUGGAAUGGAUCUGUUUGCUUUGAUGGUUCUCAUCCCUUAGUUCUAUCGGUCCUCUCUCUCUCUCUCUCUCCCCUACUUUCUAAUGUAAUAUUGAUGCAUGCUUCGUUCUAUGCUGAGUUUUCCAGUGGAAUCAACUGUUUUCCAUGAGUAUCCAGAAACCUCCCGAAUUUUCGGAGCAUGCUCUAGUUUGUGAAUAAGGAUGCGGGGAGGCGGUGGUGUUGAUAGUGCGUCGGAGAUGCAAGUAUCAAAAGGGUAAAAUUACAUUGUUGGCAAUGAGUUCUUCGUUUUCAUGGUUUUUCUUUUUCUUUCUUUCUACAUUCGUGGAACUAAAGACGCCCAAGAAAAGCAGAGGAAUGGAAGUUUAGAAAAACCUGGCGAGAAUGUCGUGGUUGAUCUGCCGCUUUAGACUUGGACCUGGCUUCCCUCUGGCCAUUUAACUGUAUUGAUCAUGGUUUGUGGCAGUCCUGCUACAACUUUCCAUGGGGUUGCCGUGUUCCAGUUUGCUAGUUGACAAAAGGUAAGUGAAUAAUGGCAGAUUUAGGCGAUUCUUCUAGGCCAUGGACAAGACGAUGGUGAAUCGUUCGCUUUCUGAUGGCGUGCGUCAUUAUUAACCCCACUCAAUCUCAGGAUUAGCUAAAUUGUUUUGUUGUCAAAGAUGGAGAUCUUGAUAACCUCUAUAUAAGGACAGCAGAAUCCUUUGAAAACGAUAGGAGGAGGAAGAUUAUCAUCAAGGAUGUCGCCUGUCAAAUUGUGUCUAAACAUCAAGACAAGAAGUGCUUAUCGUCUUCUUCUUUCUAUUAGCCAGCCCAGUGCUCCAGCUCCAACGAUACAUAUCUAUGGAACGAUUUCACAACAAUUGCUUUCAUGGACUCCUUCUUUGACAUGACUCCCAAAAGCACAAAAGGAUGCUGUCGAUGCCAAUCCCUACUUGAGCAGACCUAUUGCAUGCUUCCCGCUCUGUUAUCACCUCAGGAUGAGAUUGACUCCUGCUUCAACAGCUAUCGUUACAUCACUUAAUCAUGUUUAUCCUUCCAAGUUCAAAAUUGAAUCUGGACCUCAAAAUCUUGCCAACUGUAGCUGAAUGUGAAAAGCCACAUCCCAAGUGGUGAGGAUGAUUAACGUUAAUCAUAUAUCGAUUACAUUCAGAAGAGGUGAGUGGUCUAUUUGUUAAAACAAAGGGGUUACUGGAUCUCUGCCGUAACUCCAAAACAUAUCAAUAAAGAACUCUCUCCUUGGUGCUGUGAAAGAGUGAGAAAGAGUUUU